GUUGUCCGGAAUUAUUGGGCGUAAAGAGCUCGUAGGCGGCCUGUUGCGUCCGCUGUGAAAGCCCGGGGCUUAACCCCGGGUCGGCAGUGGAUACGGGCAGGCUAGAGGUAGGUAGGGGAGAAUGGAAUUCCCGGUGUAGCGGUGAAAUGCGCAGAUAUCGGGAGGAACACCGGUGGCGAAGGCGGUUCUCUGGGCCUUACCUGACGCUGAGGAGCGAAAGCGUGGGGAGCGAACAGG
rnacentral:rRNA from 1 species